UUGGCAGCGAUCGCGGCCCCGCCUCCCUUGAACGCGAUUGGUCCUAGCCUCCCGCCGGGGGCGGGGCCGGCAUGCGGGAUUGGCUGCCGCCGCGCGGGUCCUGCGGAGCCGGGUAGGGGUCCAAGAGCACAAACUGCAUUGUGGGCACUAGGAAAAAAACCCUACUAGUGAAGGAUCAAUAGGAAAAGACAGCAUUUGGAAGGAGAAAGAAAAAGUGGAAAAGAAGAUGUAUUAAAUUGACUUGCUCUGCAGCAAGAAGAGUUUUAUCUACCAAAAGGCUGAAUACUUGGGAAACAACUCUUACCAGCGUAUCUUUUAUCCCACAAUUCAUUUGCGAAGAACACAGUGGGAAAGGAUUAAAUCACACCUUAAAGUCAAAGGGUAGAUUAAAGCACUUCCAGAUUGUUCUGUUUAUUGUCAUGAGAAUUCCCUCUCAUACACAAAUUCUUUCCAUAAUAAUUUAACUGACACAGUCUACAGUGCAUUUUAAAUAGCAACAUGUCAGAAAGAGCAAGGAGUAGGUGCAACGUGUAUGCAUCUCUUCAUGUGUGUCUUUCUAGUGAGUAUUGCAUGAUUUCCUUCCCCGUUCAUCUCUUCAGUUCAAAACACAAGAUAGGACCACCAGUGCAGAAAAGAUUUUGUUAUUCCUGGAGUAGUCAACAAUACUGGCAUGCUAAAAGUGCCUGAAAGCCUUCCUGGGUGAGAAUACAUCUUCACUUGUUAGUCAGACGUCAAAGAUGCCAGGGGCUCUUGGAUACAGCUGGAAUAGCACUUAACAAACACCAAAAAUAUCAUCACAUGGGUAGGUUAACAAGUGAUGGAUAGUGGGUGGCUUGGAAAUAAACAUGUUUGUUGCUGAAUUAUUUAA